rnacentral:rRNA from 1 species
GAUGAACGCUAGCGGGAGGCCUAACACAUGCAAGCCGAGCGGUAUUUGUUCUUCGGAACAGAGAGAGCGGCGCACGGGUGCGGAACACGUGUGCAACCUGCCUUUAUCUGGGGGAUAGCCUUUCGAAAGGAAGAUUAAUACCCCAUAAUAUAUUGAGUGGCAUCAUUUGAUAUUGAAAACUCCGGUGGAUAGAGAUGGGCACGCGCAAGAUUAGAUAGUUGGUGAGGUAACGGCUCACCAAGUCAAUGAUCUUUAGGGGGCCUGAGAGGGUGAUCCCCCACACUGGUACUGAGACACGGACCAGACUCCUACGGGAGGCAGCAGUGAGGAAUAUUGGGCAAUGGGUUAGCGCCUGAUCCAGCCAUCCCGCGUGAAGGACGACGGCCCUAUGGGUUGUAAACUUCUUUUGUAUAGGGAUAAACCUACUCUCGUGAGAGUAGCUGAAGGUACUAUACGAAUAAGCACCGGCUAACUCCGUG